UUGCUAUCUGCGAUAUGGAAGAUUCGAACCUGUCGCAGGUUCGGGUCUUGCCUGAUGAGACAACGGAGCCGUUUACGGCGACGGCCCGAAGGGCGAGCGAAGCGAGUCAUCCUGCACGACCCACCA
rnacentral:sRNA from 1 species